rnacentral:rRNA from 1 species
CCAAUAGCGUAUAUUAAAGUUGUUGCAGUUAAAAAGCUCGUAGUUGAACUUCGGGAUCAAUGAAUUGGUCAUGCCGUUGGUAUGUACUGAUUUUAUUGGUUCUCACCUUCUAAAGAACCAUAAUGUCAUUCAUUUGAUGUUAUGGGGAAUUAGGACUGUUACCUUGAAAAAAUUAGAGUGUUUAAAGCAGGCUUACGCUUGAAUACAUUAGCAUGGAAUAAUGAAAUAGGACAUCCGAUUCUAUUUUGUUGGUUUCUAGGAUCGAUGUAAUGAUUAAUAGGGAUAGUUGGGGGCAUUAGUAUUCAAUUGUCAGAGGUGAAAUUCUUGGAUUUAUUGAAGACUGACUACUGCGAAAGCAUUUGCCAAGGAUGUUUUCAUUAAUCAAGAACGAAAGUUAGGGGAUCGAAGACGAUCAGAUACCGUCGUAGUCUUAACCAUAAACUAUGCCGACUAGGGAUCGGAUGAUGUUGAUUUUUUAAUGACUCAUUCGGCACCUUACG